rnacentral:rRNA from 1 species
AGUGAACGCUGGCGGUAGGCCUAACACAUGCAAGUCGAACGGCAGCACAGUAAGAGCUUGCUCUUACGGGUGGCGAGUGGCGGACGGGUGAGGAAUACAUCGGACUCUACUUUUUCGUGGGGGAUAACGUAGGGAAACUUACGCUAAUACCGCAUACGACCUACGUGUGAAAGCAGUGGAUCUUCGGACCUUGCGCGAUUGAAUGAGCCGAUGUCGGAUUAGCUAGUUGGCGGGGUAAAGGCCCACCAAGGCGACGAUCCGUAGCUGGUCUGAGAGGAUGAUCAGCCACACUGGAACUGAGAAACGGUCAAGACUCCUACGGGAGGCAGCAGUGGGGAAUAUUGGACAAGGGGCGAAAGCCUGAUCCAGACAUACCGCGUGGGUGAAGAAGGCUUUCGGGUUGUAAAGCCCGUUUGUUGGGAAAGAAAUCCAGCCGGCUAAUACCUGGUUGGGAUGACGGUACCCAAAGAAUAAGCACCGGCUAACUUCGUG